UAGGGAAUCUUCGGCAAUGGACGAAAGUCUGACCGAGCAACGCCGCGUGAGUGAAGAAGGUUUUCGGAUCGUAAAACUCUGUUGGUAGAGAAGAACGUUGGUGAGAGUGGAAAGCUCAUCAAGUGACGUGUAACUACCCACGAAAGGGACGGCUAACUACGUGC
rnacentral:rRNA from 1 species